AUGGAGUAUUUUUUAUUAAUUGUUUUACUGGUGGAUCACACCCCCUCUUGUGGUGCGUGUAACCAUAUGGUGACAGGAAUAAACGUUGGCAUGCUGUUGGGUGUCUCAUGCAACCCUUUGUGGUUGUGUGAAACAUGUGCAUCAUAGGCUGGGAUGACACACUGUUGGUUGUGUUGUUUUUGGUGUGUGGUGGUGUUGUGUGAGAACUGUAUAGUGGACGCGAGCAUCUUUAUUUUUUGUGGCAAGUUGAAUUGUAACUAGAUACUAACCACAGUCUUUUGAUGGUUGUGGUGGUGUUCUUGUGUGUUUGUU
rnacentral:misc_RNA from 1 species